GAUAAGUGGAUAUGGUAGCUACAUACAAAGGACUUUGUGUAGUGGUUUUAACAUGAAUGGAAUGUCCAUGACAAGGGUUGCUUAUCUGUGGGGAGAGUUAGACCGGGACUUUUGUGUGAAACAACUUUACAGAAUUAUGAGGAACUGAAAUGAAAUCAAACAUGGAAGUUUUAAACAAAAUUUUUGAGACAGUUAUGUAUCCAGGCUGGCCUCAGUAAUCACUGUUGGGCAGGUAAGAUGGCUUUGGCUAUGUGCCUGCCAAGCCUGACAAUCUGGAAUUUGGUCUCUAGAACCCACAAGGUAGGAGAAAACUAGCUCCCACCAUUUUCCUCAGACCUUUUCACAUGUGCUGUGGCACAAUCAAGAUUGCUUUUUCCUUUGUCUUUAGUGUGCCUAGAGUCAGGGUGCUUUUAUAUACAAAAUAUGUUUCUCAGACUUCAUAUUCCAGUUUCUGUGAGCUGGGAAGCUUGUAUAUAGACUGUUUGCUUCUGUCCUUCCAGUGCCAGGAGUCAGAAUGUCAAGGUGAGAACUGAAGCAGAGACCAUAGAGGAGAGCUGCCGACUGUUUGUUUGCUUUUCAUGGUUCUACAACCUGGGACUAAUUCCCCAGUGAGCUGGGCCCUCCCACAUCAAUCAUUAGUCGGGAAAACGUGCCACAUAUUACAGAGGCUGCCUUAGUUAUUCUGUUGGUGUGAGAGACACCAUGACCAAGGCACCUCUGAUAAAGCAUUUAGUUGAGAGCUUGCUCACAGUUUCAGAGGGUUACUUUGUUAUCAUGGCAGGCAUGGUGCUUGCAAGUAGCUGAGGGCUUUACAUUCUUACCAGAAGUCAGUGGACAGUAAAGCAACUUAGCCUGGGCUUUUGAAACCUCAAAGCGCACCAUCUCCAACAUGUCCUAACCCUUUCCAACAGCUGACCAACUGGAAACGAGGAUUCAAAUACAUGAACCUAUGAGGCCAUUCUUAUUUAAACCAACACAGAGGCAUUUAGAUUCUCUUCCCUGAGAAGUCUAGGUUUGUGAAAUUGGCAAACCAACUAGGACAAACUGAACCAACACACUAGCAUUUUGAUCUAUGAUGCUACCACUGAUUACAGAAGUAGGAAGGUGGAUCUGUUCUGAAACACCCAUGAGCCAAGUGAUCAAACACUGAUCAAAAGUCCUGUAAAGUUCAGUCUUAAUUACAUUUUUGUACCAUGUCCAGAGAAACUUACAAAAGAAAGCAUUUAAUUGGGAUCUUGCCUAACAGUUUCAGAAGGAAAUGUCAAUGACCAUUGUGGGAGCUUGACAGCAGGCAGUCAGGCAUGAAGCUGAAUCAAGCUGAAAGCUUUCAGAUUGAGACAAUCAUGAGAGAGACACAACCCAGAGGUAGAGAAAGCUGGGUGGGCUUUUGAUUCCUCAAAGCCUAGUUCCAGUAACAUACCUUCAACAAGCCCACACCUAAUCCUCCCCAUACUUUUACAAGCUGCAGCCCAAACAUUGAAACAAAUAUAUGAGCCUUUGAGAGCCAUUCUUAUCCAAAUCACCACUAUUCUUAAACAAACCUGCAGCUGAGUGGAAGUGUAAAGAGUUUAACUUGAAUAAAGCCUGCUUUUCUGAUUCCUGUUUGCUUUCUUUUUCUUCAAAACAGGGUUUCUGUAUAGGCCUCAGUCCUGAAACUCAUUCUGUACACCAGGCUGGCCUGGGACUCAGAGGCUCACCUUCUUCUUCCUACUGAGUGGUGGGAUUAAAGGGGUGUGCCACCUCAUCAGGCAAUGUUUGCUUGCUUUUUAUUUAUUUUAUGUAUAUGAUACACUGUAGCUGUACAAAUGGUUGUGAACCACUAUGUGGUUCCUGGGAAUUGAACUCAGGACCUCUGCUCACUCCGGGCCCACUUGCUGUGGCCCAAAGUACACUGUAGCUGUCUUCAGACACACCAGAAGAGGGCAUCAGAUCUCAUUACAGAUGGUUGUGAGCCACUGUGGUUGCUGGGAUUUGAACUCGGGACCUUCGGAAGAGCAGUCAGUACUCUUAACAGCUGAGCCAUCUCUCCAGCCUGCUUGCUUGCUUUUUAAAUUAUUUAUUUAUUCUUAAAUUUGUGUACGUUGGUGUUCCUUCCUCUGGAAAAGGAAAGCAACCAGGGACCUUAACUCUCCAGCCCACAUUUGUUUACUCUGUAAACUAGCUUGAUGGUCCAGCAGCCAGUGCCUCUUUAAUCCAGAAAAGUUUUCUGCUUCCUGCAAAGGCUGGUCAUGGAAGAUGAGUUUACCUGUUUGUGUGUGGUUCAUGUGUACGCCUUUAGUGUUUGAAACAAGAUCUCUUACUAAAGCUGUGGCAUAACUAGAAACACCAGGGACCCCCUCCUGCCUCCACUACUGAGAUUACAGCUGUGCCCCAACAUGACUGGAUACAAGGGAUCUGAACUUUGGUCCUCGCCUUACUAGACAGCAGCACUCUUCCAGCUGAUCCAGAAAACCCCAGUUUUGUUUUUAAUGCCAGUUUGAAAUGUAUUAUAAAAGAUGGGGGCAGGAAGAUCACAAUUCUAGACCACCUGAGGUAUAUGAAAUCCUGGGUUAAAAACAGCUUCAAAACAGCCAGAACUUAGUGCCAGCUGUCAAUGUCAUGCUGAAGUUCUCCAGGCACCCGUAGUCCAGUGUCCAUAUUGAUCCAGCAUCCUGAUGCCUGGCAGUUUUUGUGUGAUGUUUAAUGAACUGGGACUGGAAAAGGAAGAGACAGCCAAGUUGGAUCAAAGUGUGUGUGUGUUGCCUAUAUGCAUAUGUCUUGGAUUCCCUGGAACUAGAAUUAAAGUUGUGAGCUGCCAUUUAAAUUAUCAAGGAUAGAAAGAAGCACAUUGAUGUCGUCCUCUGCAUGUUCUUUCCCAGAAGUCUGCCAGACACAUGCCCAGAAAAGUGCAAUGUGAAUAAGCCAGCAACCAUUGACAGCAGCUUCAUACUUGCCAGCAUAUAUUUAAUUUAAAUUUAUUUACUUAUUGUUUGUCUUAUUUAAAUUUUUAAAAUUGUAAUUAAUUUUAAAUUAAAAUUUAAUUUAAAAUU
ensembl:lincRNA Gm43913 predicted gene, 43913